UACGUAGGCAGCGAGCGUUGUUCGGAAUUACUGGGCGUAAAGAGUGCGUAGGCGGUGCUCCAAGUCUGUUGUGAAAUCUCCCGGCUCAACUGGGAGGGUGCGGCGGAAACUGGAAUGCUAGAGUGUGGGAGAGGUAAGCGGAAUUCCUGGUGUAGCGGUGAAAUGCGUAGAUAUCAGGAGGAACACCUGUGGUGUAGACAGCUUACUGGACCACGACUGACGCUGAGGCACGAAAGCGUGGGUAGCAAACAGG
rnacentral:rRNA from 1 species